GUGCUCCCUUCAGGCAGCACUUAUACUAAAAUUGGAACAAUACAGAGAAGAUUAGCAUGGCCCUUGCGCAAGAAUCACCACGCCUUGAUUAUCUUAUCAUGUAGACUUUU